UGGGGGAUAUUGCACAAUGGGGGAAACCCUGAUGCAGCAAUGCCGCGUGAGGGAAGAAGGUCUUCGGAUUGUAAACCUAAGUAGCCAGGGACGAUAAUGACGGUACCUGGAGAGUAAGCUCCGGCUAACUACGUGCCAGCAGCCGCGGUAAUACGUAGGGAGCGAGCGUUGUCCGGAAUUACUGGGUGUAAAGGGUGCGUAGGCGGGAUGGCAAGUCAGAUGUGAAAUACCGGGGCUUAACCCCGGGGCUGCAUUUGAAACUGUCGUUCUUGAGUGAAGUAGAGGCAGGCGGAAUUCCUAGUG
rnacentral:rRNA from 1 species